rnacentral:lncRNA from 1 species
UAGCCAGAAGGAUUAGAUGAGGUUGUUAGUUCUUUUUUGUGUUUUUGAAAAUAAGGUCAAUAUGAUUAAGUUCAUUUACAAGUUUGAUUAAGAAAAUAUUUUGAAAAUCAAUGGCAUAAGGCUAAGGUUUCUGCUUAUUAAAACAAGUCUAAGUUGAAAACACAAGCAAAGAAGUUUUUGAAAAUGAGGGAGAGAUUUUGAAAUUUAAGAAGGAGGAGGAGAUGAAG